rnacentral:rRNA from 1 species
ACUCAAAUGAAUUGACGGGGACCCGCACAAGCGGUGGAUGAUGUGGAUUAAUUCGAUGCAACGCGAAAAACCUUACCUACCCUUGACAUGCCUGGAAUCCUGCUGAGAGGCGGGAGUGCCCGAAAGGGAACCGGGACACAGGUGCUGCAUGGCUGUCGUCAGCUCGUGUCGUGAGAUGUUGGGUUAAGUCCCGCAACGAGCGCAACCCUUGUCGUUAAUUGCCAUCAUUCAGUUGGGCACUUUAGCGAGACUGCCGGUGACAAACCGGAGGAAGGUGGGGAUGACGUCAAGUCCUCAUGGCCCUUAUGGGUAGGGCUUCACACGUCAUACAAUGGUCGGUACAGAGGGUCGCCAACCCGCGAGGGGGAGCCAAUCCCAGAAAGCCGAUCGUAGUCCGGAUCGGAGUCUGCAACUCGACUCCGUGAAGUCGGAAUCGCUAGUAAUCGUGGAUCAGCAUGUCACGGUGAAUACGUUCCCGGGUCUUGUACACACCGCCCGU